rnacentral:misc_RNA from 1 species
UUUUUCAUUUUUUAAGAUUCGGGCCUAUAGCUCAGCUGGUUAGAGCACACGCCUGAUAAGCGUGAGGUCGGUGGUUCAAGUCCAUUUAGGCCCACCAAAAUAGGUCACAUCUUAAAAAAGCUC